UCGUGUAUCGAAAAACAAACAAAUCACAAACGUCAUCUGACCAACCGUUCGAGAAUCUUACCAACGAGGAUCUUGAUUCACCAUCUCACAAAAGUUACAUUCGUGCAAGCCUCUCCAAGUAUCUCCGGCUCCGAUACACCAUCUGGAUUCAGUUAUCUGUUUAAGAGCAAAAAGAUUUGACUUUUGUUGGAUUUUCUGGCAGAGAAACCAAAUGUGUUGGCUCUGAAGCUAUUGGAAAAUCAAAUCCGUCUGUGGAGUCUUUCUUUAUUUUCGUCUGUGGGUUGGUUGAUAUGAACGAGAACGGUGGUUCAUGGGGUUUGAACAGUCUUGUGAGAAGGAAACAAGUUGAUUCUGUUCAGCUGAAAACUGACGAUGGUCAUCAUCAUCAUCAGCUCGCCAAGAAAUUAACCGCCGUUGACCUUGUCGCUAUUGGAGUUGGAACAACAAUUGGAGCAGGAGUGUAUAUUCUAGUGGGAACAGUAGCUAGAGAACACACAGGACCUGCUCUUGCUGUUUCCUUCUUCAUUGCUGGAGUAGCAGCUGCUCUCUCGGCGUGUUGUUAUGCUGAGCUUGCUUCUCGCUGUCCAUCUGCUGGGAGUGCUUAUCAUUAUGCAUACAUAUGUCUUGGAGAAGGGGUUGCUUGGUUGGUUGGUUGGGCACUGGUGUUGGAUUAUACAAUUGGUGGAUCGGCCAUUGCCCGUGGCAUAACUCCAAAUCUGGCAUCUUUCUUUGGAGGCUUGGACAAUCUUCCUGUUUUCUUAGCCCGACAAACCAUACCUGGACUUGGUAUUGUGGUUGAUCCAUGUGCAGCACUGUUGAUUAUGAUUGUCACAAUACUACUAUGCUUUGGGAUAAAGGAGAGCUCAUUAGUACAAGCAAUUGUAACAUCAGUGAAUGUUUGCACCUUGGUUUUCAUCAUAGUAGUUGGUGGAUAUUUAGCUUUCAAGACUGGAUGGGUUGGAUAUGAUCUUCCGAGUGGGUAUUUUCCUUUUGGAUUAAAUGGGAUACUCGCCGGAUCUGCUGUAGUAUUCUUCUCGUACAUCGGAUUUGAUACCGUAACUAGCACGGCUGAAGAGGUUAAAAAUCCUCAAAGGGAUCUUCCAUUGGGCAUCGGGAUUGCAUUGCUGAUAUGCUGCAUCCUGUAUAUGCUUUUAUCUGUGGUUAUUGUUGGAUUAGUUCCAUACUAUUCUUUGAAUCCUGAUACUCCUAUCUCCUCUGCAUUUGGAGACAGUGGCAUGCAAUGGGCAGCUUACAUCUUAACCACUGGGGCAAUAACUGCUCUGUGCGCGAGUUUGUUGGGUUCGCUUCUGGCUCAGCCUCGAAUCUUCAUGGCAAUGGCUAGGGACGGAUUGUUGCCAGCUUUCUUUUCAGAAAUUAGUCCACGAACCCAAGUACCAGUGAAAAGCACAAUUGCAAUUGGUGUGCUGGCUGCUGCGCUCGCAUUUUUCAUGGAUGUUUCACAGUUGUCUGAGAUGGUUAGUGUAGGCACUCUGAUGGCAUUCACUGCCGUAGCAGCCUGUGUGUUAGUUCUUAGAUAUGUACCACCAGAUGGAGUUCCCUUAUCAUCUUCCUCUCAAGCUUGGACUGAUACCGAUGAAAGUAGAGCUGAAGCUGAAAAUUCUCUUGUGGAUGCUAUAGAAUCUUCUGAUUCCCCUCUACUUGGCGAUGAAACAGCUCGAGAUGAAAAGUAUUUUGGAAAGAGAAGAAAAGUUGCUGCAUGGAGUAUAGCUCUUGUGUGCAUAGGUGUACUAGGCCUUGCUUCAGCAGCUUCUGCUGAGCGUCUUCCAAUGUCAGUUCAUCAUCUGUUUUCCUCGGUUCUCUAUAUGUGGUGUCAGUGCUGCCAUCUUGCUUGGUAGCUUGAUUACUCUUGGAUGCAUCGAUGAGGAUGAUGAAAGGCACAACUUUGGACACAAAGGAGGGUUUCUCUGCCCAUUUGUCCCAUAUCUUCCUGUUCUCUGCAUUUUGAUCAACACCUACUUGAUCAUCAACAUUGGAGCUGGGACAUGGAUCAGGGUCUUGGUAUGGCUGCUUAUUGGAAGCAUGAUCUAUCUCUUCUAUGGCCGGUCUCACAGCUUACUGAACAAUGCGGGUUACGUUCCAACAACAGAUCAUCUUGCCUGAUAUUGCAGUGCUCACGUUAUUUCUCAUUUUGAGAAAAAUUUGGAAAUUCUUUCUUUGCAAGAUUUAUACAGACAUAUUUGUCUUUAUUUUUUUAAUUUAAUUUUUAGUAGGUUCAAUAUUAUUAGUUAUUGUAUCUUCAAAUGAAAAUAAAAAUAAAGAAAAU